ACGGAGGGUGCAAGCGUUAAUCGGAAUUACUGGGCGUAAAGCGCACGCAGGCGGUGUGGUAAGUCGGAUGUGAAAGCCCCCGGCUCAACCUGGGAACUGCAUUUGAAACUGUCGGACUAGAGUCUUGUAGAGGGGGGUAGAAUUCCAGGUGUAGCGGUGAAAUGCGUAGAGAUCUGGAGGAAUACCGGUGGCGAAGGCGGCCCCCUGGACGAAGACUGACGCUCAGGUGCGAAAGCGUGGGGAGCAAACAG
rnacentral:rRNA from 1 species